rnacentral:rRNA from 1 species
GACGAACGCUGGCGGCGUGCCUAAUACAUGCAAGUCGAACGCUUCUUUCCUCCCGAGUGCUUGCCCUCAAUUGGAAAGAGGAGUGGCGGACGGGUGAGUAACACGUGGGUAACCUACCCAUCAGAGGGGGAUAACACUUGGAAACAGGUGCUAAUACCGCAUAACAGUUUAUGCCGCAUGGCAUAAGAGUGAAAGGCGCUUUCGGGUGUCGCUGAUGGAUGGACCCGCGGUGCAUGAGCUAGUUGGUGAGGUAACGGCUCACCAAGGCCACGAUGCAUAGCCGACCUGAGAGGGUGAUCGGCCACACGGGGAGUGAGACACGGCCCAGACUCCUACGGGAGGCAGCAGUAGGGAAUCUUCGGCAAUGGACGAAAGUCUGACCGAGCAACGCCGCGUGAGUGAAGAAGGUUUUCGGAUCGUAAAACUCUGUUGUUAGAGAAGAACAAGGACGUUAGUAACUGAGCGUCCCCUGACGGUAUCUAACCAGAAAGCCACGGCUAACUACGUG